UAUACCUUGAAUAUGUGUAUAUUUUUGUUUUUGUACAAUUAAUAAUACAUGCACAUUUUUGAUUUUAUUCCAAGUUUCUUUAUUGCGUGGUACCAGGAGUACAUGUAUACUCUUGAUCCUGGUAGUACCCUGGUUUACUCUCAACCAUGCUCAUUAACAUUUUUCUACGUCAGUGGGGACCACGCCGUGAUAUGCGACUUACAUAGUCCUCUUCCAGAGACUGAACUGCAGCCGGUGGUGAGUAGUGAUGAGACAACUUAAUUUGUUUGAUAUCUCCAUUAAACACAUUGACUUUGUGCAUGUACAAGAAUGCAGCCUAGCUUGUAAAUAAUUUUGUUAAUAUUGUACACAUUAUCAUGCAACUUGAAUUGCAUACAUAAAAUCGUGUCUGCUUAUUAGGUGUGAUAUUGUUAGAGUUAGUAUUAGCCAGUACUAUAUAAUUACCUAUUAUUUUGCUGUUAAUCAAUGCAGUUAAAAUUUCAAGAGUCCAAAUGUGUAACACAACUUGAUAGAUAGAUAAUAAUGAAUAGGAAUACCACAUCCACAAAGUUGUGGUUUUUCAUUUAAGUCCUAUAUGGACUAGCUUGACACACUGUUUGAUAAGAUAACAAGAGAGAUGAUUGAGACACUGAAGAAAAAACACUGCAUGAAGAUAAAACUAAAAGCAAAUCACUAUAUACGGUCAAAAAAAUAGAUGAAGCGUGAUUGAGAAACGAUCAAUAAAAGGUUUGGAGUGUCAUGACGAGUGUUAGUGCUAUAUAGAACAGUAAUUGAUUGAGCGACCGACCGGCCAACAGAUUCUGCAGUGAAAAUAGCACACAAAUGAUCAUAAUUAUAAUUAUACAUAGAGCCAUAGAGAGCCAUGCAUAUAAAGAGACACAUGUACGUACGUACAUGCAUGUAAUAUGUAUAAUAUGAUGUAGCUCAAGCAUGCAUGCAUGUGGUAUAUUAAAGAAGCAACAUGACAAUCAAACUAAUUAUGAACUCAUGAAUAGGCCAGCUUCUCAUGGAUGACAGAGCAAUCCACUGGAUUCCUCCUCCAACAGUCCAGCAUGAGUUCUGCAAGGGAAAGAACACACUCAGGCUUAAAAUAUAUCAAUAGUGAAAAUAGUGGUCAAGCUGUAACAACAUGCAGUUGCCAUACUACAGUAUCUGUGUAUUGAUGUACACACAGUGUAGAUAUAGGAUCUCUACGGUGGCCCUGAGUGCUACUCUAGUUGAUAGUUCAUACUUGAUAGUUCAAAUGCCUAGUUGAUAGUUCGCAGUUGCUACUUGAUAGUUCAAAUGCGUAGUUGGUAGUUCGCAGUUGCUACUAAGAUAGUUCAAAUGCGUAGUUGGUAGUUCGCAGUUGCUACUAAGAUAGUUCAAA